CUCCCUCUAAAAGCACUCUGUGUGGGGAACAUGAGAGCCAGACCAAAGCUCAGAGGAAGAAACGAGGAACUAAACGCAAACAUGAACCUGAACCCAGCUGUGUGUCCUUAAAGAGUGACUGGUCUGAAGAGCACUUCAUUUAUUUCAAAUCCCAGCCUGUGUCUGCUGCAGAGAGAGCGAGGAAGAGGAGUGGUGUUAGUGAGGAGGAGCAGCUGUCCUGCUGUGCUUUGUGUCAGGACGUCCUGAAGGAUCCAGUCUCUACCAGCUGUGGGCACUGGUUCUGCAGACAGUGCAUCUGCUCAUACUGGGACCAGUCUGCUUCAUCAGGAGACUCCUCCUGUCCCCAGUGUGGAGAAAGAUCCAGAAGCAGAGCUGGACUGCAGACAGCCAGUCAGAGCAGCUGUGUACAAACAGAUGUUGGUCUGCAGGAGGUUUUAGAUGAACAU